rnacentral:rRNA from 1 species
UGGGGAAUAUUGGACAAUGGGCGAAAGCCUGAUCCAGCCAUGCCGCGUGUGUGAAGAAGGUCUUCGGAUUGUAAAGCACUUUAUGUUGGGAGGAAGGGCAGUAAGCGAAUACCUUGCUGUUUUGACGUUACCGACAGAAUAAGCACCGGCUAACUCUGUGCCAGCAGCCGCGGUAAUACAGAGGGUGCAAGCGUUAAUCGGAAUUACUGGGCGUAAAGCGCGCGUAGGUGGUUCGUUAAGUUGAAUGUGAAAGCCCCGGGCUCAACCUGGGAACUGCAUCCAAAACUGGCGAGCUAGAGUAGGGCAGAGGGUGGUGGAAUUUCAUGUGUAGCGGUGAAAUGCGUAGAUAUAGGAAGGAACACCAGUGGCGAAGGCGACCACCUGGGCUCAUACUGACACUGAGGUGCGAAAGCGUGAGGAGCAAACAGG